CAGCUGCUGGUUAUAUGAUAUGUGGAUGGGAAACAGCAGGGGGAAUAAGUGGCUCAGAAAACAUUUGCACCUGGAAACAGAUUCCAAAGAAUUCUGGGCUUUCAGUUUUGAUGAAAUGAUAAAAUAUGAUCUUCCAAAGUAUUGACUUCAUUGUGAAGAAAACAGGACAAAAGAAAACUUACUAUGUGAGCUAUUCCCAGGGAACCAUUAUUGAUUUUGUGCCAGUAGAGGAACUGAAGGAGAUUUUCUAUGGCUUUGAGGACAACAAGAAACACAGAUAUGAUACACACGAACACUUUGAGUUCUUUGUCUUUCUCACCAUUUCCAAGGAC